GCUCCGGUGGCCUAGUGGUUAGAGCGUCCGCAUCGGAUGCGGGAGGUCGUGGGUUCGAGCCCCGACUGAAUCA